UUCGAAACUGGCAGGCUUGAGUCUUGUAGAGGGGGGUAGAAUUCCAGGUGUAGCGGUGAAAUGCGUAGAGAUCUGGAGGAAUACCGGUGGCGAAGGCGGCCCCCUGGACAAAGACUGACGCUCAGGUGCGAAAGCGUGGGGAGCAAACAGGAUUAGAUACCCUGGUAGUCCACGCCGUAAACGAUGUCUACUUGGAGGUUGUGCCCUUGAGGCGUGGCUUCCGGAGCUAACGCGUUAAGUAGACCGCCUGGGGAGUACGGCCGCAAGGUUAAAACUCAAAUGAAUUGACGGGGGCCCGCACAAGCGGUGGAGCAUGUGGUUUAAUUCGAUGCAACGCGAAGAACCUUACCUGGUCUUGACAUCCACGGAAGUUUUCAGAGAUGAGAAUGUGCCUUCGGGAACCGUGAGACAGGUGCUGCAUGGCUGUCGUCAGCUCGUGUUGUGAAAUGUUGGGUUAAGUCCCGCAACGAGCGCAACCCUUAUCCUUUGUUGCCAGCGAUUAGG
rnacentral:rRNA from 1 species